rnacentral:rRNA from 1 species
UACGAAGGGGGCUAGCGUUGCUCGGAAUCACUGGGCGUAAAGGGUGCGUAUGCGGGUCUUUAAGUCAGGGGUGAAAUCCUGGAGCUCAACUCCAGAACUGCCUUUGAUACUGAAGAUCUUGAGUUCGGGAGAGGUGAGUGGAACUGCGAGUGUAGAGGUGAAAUUCGUAGAUAUUCGCAAGAACACCAGUGGCGAAGGCGGCUCACUGGCCCGAUACUGACGCUGAGGCACGAAAGCGUGGGGAGCAAACAGG